CACCUGGAGGGAGGGGAGAGAAGGCAUCCCCCUCCCUAACCGACCGAGCUUCUGCGCCUACCAGGGCCCGCCCCGCUGCGCUUUCCGGAGCCACAACCUUGAGCUUAGGGGUGGUGAGGACCUCCCGAGGUCUAGAGUUCCUCCUGGGAAUACGGGACGGGAAGUGGAGGUUUUGCCCCGUCCCCGCGCCCCACCACCAUUUCUUUAAAGAUGGAUCUUGGUGGGUGUGUUCCUAAUGGCUAGUCUUUUGUUCCCUGACAUAUGCAACAUAAUGCCUACGCGCCCCGAGUCCUCUUGGAGUUUUAUGGUAUAUGCCCAGGAGUGGGGUUGAAGGAUCAUAUGUGUGCAUCUGGAGCGGCGCUGAGCCACCCCUCGUCUACCCGGCCACUCCGGCUUGGUUCUGGGCUGCCUGGUCACCUGGGGUUCGAUUGAGGGUGUCCCCCCCAUCCUCCUGAAAUGAGAGUAUAGGGGGACUUGCUGAUUAUUUAGAAAUUUUGUUGAUCAAUGCAUUGAUUUGUAUGUACUUCUGUAAUUUUCUUUUUUGGUGGAAGACUGGGGAGGGCCAGGCUCUGAGACAUUCCUGCGUGGAUGGGAGCCCAGAAGACAGGACAGGGUCUCCCCGGUUUGUGUGCAUGGAAGGUUCCCAAGAACGCAGCUGCACGUGUAUGGCCCAGGGUAGGGCGGCUUCGGGGCCAGUUGUGUCCAGGGCGGCAGUGCUGGGCUGGCCGGGAUGCCCUGCCUUUCCUGAGAAGCCGGACCUGCUUUAGGGGUAUUGGGUUUUAGAACAGGAGCCUUAUUCCAGGCUCUGAGACCCGGUAAACUGGUCAUUUUGCAAACCCCUCCUGCAGUGGAUUUGAGGUCGUUCCUCCAACUGUGACCCUACAGCCUGGUUUCUCUUGCCCAGAUGUUGUCUGCCCAUCUCACCUCCUUAGAUCCUGGGUCUCCACCCUGCUCAGCUGGUGCCCCCUGUCCCCCCGACUGAGCCGAGAUUAUUCUGGGUGGAGGUGGGGAUCCUGGGGGCUUGUCAAGCAGCAGACAUACCCCUCUUAAUGCAAGAACACCAUUCCACAAGAAUGUCACCAGAUCCCACAGCAACAGAAUCUUCCCUCUGGCUGAGGAUGGGCAGGUGGCCUGUCUGUGGGUGGGUGGGUGGAUGGAUGGGGAGGUGAACAAGCAGCAAUCAGGACUCUGCACCUGUGUUCCGCCCUGGGUCUCAUCAGCCUCCUGGAUCAGCAGGGGAAAUUCACUCUCGAGGUAUUGCUAAGAUUCCCUCCCAGGUGCCGACUCAAAAGCUCUUAUCAUCCAAGAUGAUGGCCAUUUGUGGGACCCUGACCACCACGAUCCUCCUUCCUGGCUAAUCCAAGCCCCCUGCUCCUGCGAUCAGAGAUGGUUUUAAGGUGCUGUGUUUGCUCUGGAGCCUCAGCGUUCUUCUGCCCAGGGGAAGGGACAGCUCCAAGGUAAAGUUACUACGCAGUGGAGGCGGGGGAAGUGCUGUUUAUCCCUUCUUGGUGAGAGGUGGGCGGGGCUCUUGUGAGAUGAGAUUCUCACAACCCACAGUGGACACAGGUGAUGGAACACAUUCUGUCCUCCUUCAUAGCUGAGCGUUUGCUAACUUCCAAUCAGCUGUCCCUCCCAGAGGCCCCUGUGCCCUGCCCGUCAUUUCCCCAAGAACCACCUUGUUCCCGAGUGUGUGCCUCAUUUUUUACCCCAGACAUUUGCCAAAAAAAAAAAGAAAUCCAUUUAAGAAAAAAAUAGUGCAUAGAAAGUAAAACUGAUUACUGUUUUUUCCCUCUUCAUUUCAAAAACAUUUCAAAAGCAUUUCAAAAACACAGAAGGAUGAAAAAGGCUUAUAGAUGUCCACACUUAGAGAUAAAGUCUGCUAAUGAAAUAGAGCCUUCCAGCAUUUUUUCCUCUUUGCAUGAACACACCCUCACCCAGUUAGCAGGAUUGGGGCUUCUAAAAGGGGUGAGGCUCAUAACCCAUUUGAGCAAUGGCCCUGGGCCGUUGGGAGCCAGAAGGUCUCUAUUUUCUUUUUUGCCAAAUGGGCUGGGCCUUGGGCUGAAGCUCGCCUCCAGCCAGGAAGCUAAUUGGAGGGUGUGGGAGCAGCACUGGGUCUCUCUACACCGAGACUGAUGAAGUUGCUGGGGAGGAUGCUAGAAAUGUGGGCUCCGUCCUGACUGAUUUCUGAGGAGACUCCUGCACUGCUUCUUGACUCUGGUCACAUGCAAGAAUCCCUUAGUGUUAGAAAAAAUUUCACUGCCUACCCUCACCCGAGACCAGUUGGAUCUAAAUUGCUGGGUGUUGGGAGGGACCCAGGCCUUGGCAUCUUUGUUUUUCUUAGGUUCCUCAGGUGAUUCUGUCAAGCUGCCAGAGGACGACCCAGCUCCACGCCCACAGGUUGGAGGUGGAAGAGAUUUCCUCUAGCUCUGCUGUCAGAGUCUGACAGAGGACAUGUGCAGCUGGCAGACUUUCCCUUCCAUUAUUUUCCCUUCUGCUCAGAGUCACCUUUGAUCCUCAUUUUACAGAUGGAGGACCGAGGCUCAGGAGAUCAGGAGACUUAACCAGAGGACACACAGCUCGGAUGCAACAGAGCUAGGAUUUAGAUCUGCAGCUUCUGCCUCCCAAGGCCAGUGCUCUUUAAGUAAAAUUGUUGUUUAUAAUUAGCAUAUGUAGUUAUAACAAGAUGUGGUCAUCACAGUGUCCCGAGGUUGGGGGUGCCUCUGUCUCGUGGAGGAGGUAUCUGCUCCCCAGGGAGGCUGGGUGAUCGUCCCUGAGUCUUCCCAAUGCUGAGUGUGUACGUGGCCAGCUUGGACCCACAGCCUGCCAUGCUGCCAAGGAUCCCAGCUCUGGGCAAAGCAGGGUUUAGCCCCGUUUUCAGAACAGGCAGGAGGCAUGGCCCAGGUCCCACAGUGGGUGGUGCCCUGGGCUCCCUAAUCCCUGCUCCUCACCUGGACGGAGGCAUCUGGGAAGGAGCACAGCCAGUGAGGGGCUUGCUUCUCCAGGCCCUGCUCUGAGCAGGGCGGCCCUCAGGGUCAGGACCCCUGCUAGGGGUUCUGCAGGCUCCUGAAAGCUGUCCUCGGCCCUCCCUCUCUCCUACAGAGCUGGACUCCCGGAGCCUGGCCGGAGGGCUGCCCGGGCAGGCGGCCAGCAGAGAACUAGCGGGCAGGCGCACUGUUGGAUCCAGGAAGUGGUCACUGUUCCUGGGCCGGUGUCGGGGCUGGAGGGCCAGCCUGCCUCAGACGUAACAGCGGGGAUGGGAGCUGAGAACACCACUCUCCCAGGGCCCGGCGGCUCUGGGCCCAGCCCAUGGCCAUCCUUUGGCAGGGAGGGCCCCAGCCUUGCCAUGCCUUCCCUUGCUGGGCCCUGGCUCUUUCUCAGUGGGCUCUCGCCCUGCUCCCCACCGUCUCUCUGCAGCAGCGACAUCCGUUUAAGCUGCAUCCCAGAAGACAGGAUGGCUGGGCAGGCAGAUACAGCCAGCACCUUGGUGGGAAGUGGGGCAGGGGCCCUCAGCUCAGGCUUCUUUUGCCCACAUUCUAGGAGAUCUGGGCUGGGAGGUGGCCCCGAGCUGCCGUGCUGACCUGGGUCAGCAGCCAAGAGCAGACAGGCUGAGGCCAGAGCUUGGAGCUCCUGGAGGUGGCAGGAGUUUGCCCAGCAGCCUGAUCAGCGGCAGCCACUUCACGGGGGCCGCAGGUAAUGCCCCCUCCCCUCCAAACCUGCAGCCUUAUUUAUUUAAUGGAUGUAGUGCUGCCCUGUAGGAGUAGGUCUACUUUUAGGCCUGUUCUGAACAGAUACGAAGCUGUGGCUCCCUUCCCUCCCAUUCCAGGAGGACCCUUCACCAGAGAACUCGGGACGUACCUGGCAUGAGAAUGUGCGAGCGCCACCGCACCGCCCAGGACGUAAGUGUGUGUCUCCAGGUGCUGGAUGUUGUUCUGUCCGUCAUCUCUACAAAGAUGACCUUCCCUUCAGCUUCCUCUCUGCCAGACCCUGUGGGGAUAGUGGUUCUGGACUGAGAAGCUGCCCUUCUUGCCCCUGUGCCCUGUCUGGUCUGGCCCCCCAAGGCCUGGAGGCCAGGGAGGCAUCCUUUCCCUCCUUGGGGUACAUCCUACAAGUCAGGGUGCUGUCAGCUCCAAGGUGUUCCCACUGGGCCUGGGCCAGAGCCCCUCCCUCCCCCGCCAGCCUCCUCUGGGUGCAGACUGACGGCUCCACACAGGCAGGCAGGGCCUUCUGUUGGCCUUGGCUGGUGGGGAAGAGACUCGCUCUUACCUUCUGUUUAGACUCUUGUAUCUAAUUAACACGCAGAGCCUAUGACAUUGCAGAACAGCAGCCUUGGGUCUUGAAUGAGUCUGGGGCCUGGCCACUAUAGUGCUGUCUGUCUGAAGGUAGGAGUGGGUGACAGCAGCACCCCCCUGGUUAUUUGUGGAGAGAUAUGAUGACCAUCUGUUGGCUCUCCCAAUCAGUGUCUGCAGCCCCUUCUUUUUCUUUCAGGGGAUCACCUCUUCUGUACCCCUGGGGUUCAGAUAGGGCCAACUGCAUCCCCUGGCUUUAGAGGCAGGCAUGUGUCCCAAGCUGGACACUGCAACUCCCCCUUGGGACUUUUGCAGCAGCUGUGGGAGAAGAGGCAUUCACUUUUCAGGGUGGGAGUUGCCAGGUUGAUGGUGGCCACUCCUGUUCUCCACUGGAGGACAGACCCAACAAAGAGGAGUCAAGAAGUGGAGAAAGUGUGCUGUCCAGACAUCAAUAAGCCAUGCCUGAAACUAACUGUACCUCUGGACUAACCUGAUUCUAUAAGCCAAUAUCCACCUCCCCCCCCAAAAAAAAACUAUCCUGAGUUGGGUUUCUGUCAUAGAAGGUGUCCGAAUAAAGCAAUGUUCCUCUUCGGUCUCAUUUAAAAAAAUCAACUUUGAGGUACACUUUACGUGCAGUAAAAUCCACCCAUUCUAAGUAUCCAACUCAUAAGUUGUUUCAAACGUGUACACCCCUGUAACUACCACCACAGACAAGAGAUAGAAUAUUUCUCAUUCCCCUUUAUGGUCAGUUCCCCAGCCCCAUAUGACCACAGACUUACCUUUGUUCUAGGGAUUCAUUUUGCAUUUUCUGGAAUUUCAUGUAACUAUUACAUUAAUGUAAAUGCU